CCUCCCUCCUUCUCUACUGGAUCUUGCCAGUCUUUCGACAAUUCUCUCUCGGAGCAUUUGGAAUCCCAAUCUUGCUCAGUAUGUAGCUCUCUCUUUCGAGGGCUAGUGACGUGUUUCGAGCUUCACCUGCUCGUUUCUGUGGCGCCAUGCCCCUUUCCCUGAGAGCCACACCUUUGUAUCUCCCUAACAAAUCUAAUGUUAAUCUCUUUCACAACAACACAGACUGCUCAAUGGCUAUUGAAUCUUCCCUUUUUUCCAUGGUCU
rnacentral:lncRNA from 1 species